rnacentral:rRNA from 1 species
CAAGUCGAACGAUGAACCACUUCGGUGGGGAUUAGUGGCGAACGGGUGAGUAACACGUGGGCAAUCUGCCCUGCACUCUGGGACAAGCCCUGGAAACGGGGUCUAAUACCGGAUACUGACCCUCGCAGGCAUCUGCGAGGUUCGAAAGCUCCGGCGGUGCAGGAUGAGCCCGCGGCCUAUCAGCUUGUUGGUGAGGUAAUGGCUCACCAAGGCGACGACGGGUAGCCGGCCUGAGAGGGCGACCGGCCACACUGGGACUGAGACACGGCCCAGACUCCUACGGGAGGCAGCAGUGGGGAAUAUUGCACAAUGGGCGAAAGCCUGAUGCAGCGACGCCGCGUGAGGGAUGACGGCCUUCGGGUUGUAAACCUCUUUCAGCAGGGAAGAAGCGAAAGUGACGGUACCUGCAGAAGAAGCGCCGGCUAACUACGUGCCAGCAGCCGCGGUAAUACGUAGGGCGCAAGCGUUGUCCGGAAUUAUUGGGCGUAAAGAGCUCGUAGGCGGCUUGUCACGUCGGUUGUGAAAGCCCGGGGCUUAACCCCGGG